GGCCUUGUGGUCCAGAGGCAAGAUACCUGCUUUGGGUUUUUGUGGCAACUGCAGGUGACCUGGGUUCGAUUCCCAGCAAGGCCC